CCGGGCGCUGGUGAGUUCUAGCCCUUCGCCAGGAACGGCGAUUCUCAGCGUCCUCUCCAGUGGAGGACAGAAGCCCUCCCAGGGUCGCGGGAGAGCCAGCGCAAAGUGGAAGGCACCUUGUACGCUGUGAAGCGGAGAUGCAGAUGUUACCCUAACCAGAAGCCCACCCCGCCACAAAUACUGGAGCGCCCAACAUGCGUGCGCCACCCGCUUCCCUGCAGAGGGCGCCGCGGGCCCGCCUCGCCGAGCGCGGGGUGAGAUCCCAGUAGCCCAGAGCAGCCCGCGGGGCAGGCCCGGGCUGCCGCGGACUCCUCUUGCAGAAAAGCCUUUGAUGCUGUAUUCUUAGCACAUGGAACCCUAAACCAAAGCCUGCACUGGGGCAUUUGUGAGAAGCGUGUGUGCAAAGCCUGAGAGACUCCCCUGUUGGGCAUGCUGCUGGGCAGGGGUGUUCUGGUUUGACUUUGUACAUCCUUCUGCCAUGUGAGGAUGUGGCACAAAGUUGCCAUUUGGGAGCAGAAACUGGACCCUCACCAGACACCAGACCUGCCAGAGUUUAAGAGCAUUAGAGGCCACGGCUGGACUAGAACUCCAAGGUUCAAAUGAGUCUCCUGCCUCAGACUCCUCAGUAGCUGAGACUGCUGGGGUGCACAACCACACCCACCUAGAAAGUGGAUCCACUGGUGUUGAUGAAUGGAGUAAUCCACAAGCCGGAGGAUCUGGUGGAAACAUCGGUGCUCACACAUCACAUUCCAGUAGGAAAACGCAGUGCUCCACGUGAAUUUGUAAUCCAUGAGUUUGGACCUCUGAGCUAACUUUAUUUAAAUUUAUUUUGUCUUUAAUUUAUUUUGUUUUUUAGUGGGAAAUCACAAAACAUAUUUAACUGGAUAUUUGGUAAUGUGAAAAUAAUGUCCUCCCAUCAGUUUUAAGGUUUUCUAACAUCCCAUUUUGAGAUUUGGAAAAGAAUGACCUUAAA
rnacentral:lncRNA from 1 species